GACAGAGGGUGCAAACGUUGUUCGGAAUUACUGGGCGUAAAGCGCGUGUAGGCUGCCCCGCAAGUCGGAUGUGAAAGCCCUGGGCUCAACCUAGGAAGUGCACUCGAAACUGCGGGGCUGGAGUCCUGGAGAGGAAGGCGGAAUUCUCGGUGUAGAGGUGAAAUUCGUAGAUAUCGAGAGGAACACCGGUGGCGAAGGCGGCCUUCUGGACAGUGACUGACGCUGAGACGCGAAAGCGUGGGGAGCAAACAGG
rnacentral:rRNA from 1 species